AUGGGCAACAUCGGCCUCAUGUUCCUCUUCUUCAUGGGCAAUGUCGGCCUCAUGUUCUACAUGAAGACACCAUCAGGAUUAGCUACAGUAUGCAGAAGAAUUGAACAUGUGCAUAUGGUCAAGAUGUACCAUGGUUCAUGUUCAGAUCGAAGUGAUGUCCAGCCAGUGGUACUUCUUCAUGCAAGGGAGGCUCAUGUUCAUCUUCUCCAGCGAAUUGAUGGCCGGCCUGGAGUACUUCUUCAUGCAAGUGAGGCUCAAAACCAACCCGGGGUUCUUCAAGCAAGGCAGCCUCAUGUUCGUCCUCUACGGUGA
rnacentral:rRNA from 1 species